AACGAACGCUGGCGGCAGGCCUAACACAUGCAAGUCGAACGCCCGUAGCAAUACGGGAGUGGCAGACGGGUGAGUAACGCGUGGGAACGUGCCCUUCGGUUCGGAAUAACUCAGGGAAACUUGAGCUAAUACCGGAUACGUCCGUAAGGAGAAAGAUUUAUCGCCGAAGGAUCGGCCCGCGUCGGAUUAGCUAGUUGGUGGGGUAAAAGCUCACCAAGGCGACGAUCCGUAGCUGGUCUGAGAGGANGAUCAGCCACACUGGGACUGAGACACGGCCCAGACUCCUACGGGAGGCAGCAGUGGGGAAUAUUGGACAAUGGGCGAAAGCCUGAUCCAGCCAUGCCGCGUGAGUGAAGAAGGCCUUAGGGUUGUAAAGCUCUUUCAGCGGGAAGAUAAUGACGGUACCCGCAGAAGAAGUCCCGGCUAACUUCGU
rnacentral:rRNA from 1 species